CCUUAGCUCAGUUGGUUAGAGCAUCCGGCUCAUAACCGGACGGUCAUAGGUUCGAGUCCUAUAGGGUCC
rnacentral:tRNA from 2 species